rnacentral:rRNA from 1 species
CCAGACUCCUACGGGAGGCAGCAGUGGGGGAUAUUGCACAAUGGGGGGAACCCUGAUGCAGCGACGCCGCGUGGGUGAAGGAGUGCUUCGGCAUGUAAAGCCCUAUCGGCAGGGAAGAAGCAAGACGGUACCUGAGUAAGAAGCCCCGGCUAACUACGUGCCAGCAGCCGCGGUAAUACGUAGGGGGCAAGCGUUAUCCGGAUUUACUGGGUGUAAAGGGAGCGUAGACGGCAGUGCAAGUCUGAAGCGAAAGCCCCGGGCUUAACCCGGGAACUGCUUUGGAAACUGUACGGCUGGAGUGCUGGAGAGGUAAGCGGAAUUCCUAGUGUAGCGGUGAAAUGCGUAGAUAUUAGGAGGAACACCAGUGGCGAAGGCGGCUUACUGGACAGUAACUGACGUUGAGGCUCGAAAGCGUGGGGAGCAAACAGGAUUAGAUACCCGCGUAAC